rnacentral:rRNA from 1 species
GAUAAACGCUGGCGGCGUGCCUAACACAUGCAAGUCGAACGUCCUCUUUUGCCUUCGCGAGAAGGGGAGAGAGGGAGUGGCGGACGGGUGAGUAACACGUGGGUACCUACCCUGGGGUGAGGAAUACCGGCGAGAAAUCGCCGACAAGACCGCAUAGGCUCUUUCUUGCACACGCAAAAGAAGAGCAAAGACCGAAAGGUGGCCCUGGGAUGGGCCUGCGGCCGAUUAGCUAGUUGGCGAGGAAGAGCUCCC